UCUGCAGGAUCCGAUGUCGGAUCUCUCGAUGUCGGAUCGCCGGGAGGAGCACCUGUUGGAUGUGAUGUAGCGCCAGGAGGGGUGACCAAGGUAUCGUCUGCAGCAUCGGGAUCAGGAGCCGAUAGUGGCUGCUGCUGAGACGUCGAAACAUGUCGGUCUGUAGCAGGCGCAGGAUCAGAGGAAGAAGUACCAGCACGGUGCUCACCGGGACAACCGCAUCACAUGAGCUCUAAGCUCUGCAAUCUGUCUCUGCUGAUCAGCAAACUGAGCCCGUAUAUCAUCAGUAUAGUGCUCGUCAGUGUGCUCGGGCUGUGGUGCUGCGCUGGCUGUAGAAGCGUGAGCUGCUGAGCCAGUGUAAAACUGUGAUGCCUGAGACCCGAUGCCGUAUACCUUCCUCUUCUUCUCGCCCCCUACAGCCUCGAGAUAAAGCGCUACCUCGUCAAUUCUUGACUCAGCUUCGG
rnacentral:lncRNA from 1 species